rnacentral:rRNA from 1 species
AUUCCAGCUCCAAUAGCGUAUAUUAAAGUUGUUGCAGUUAAAAAGCUCGUAGUUGGAUUUGUGGCUGGUUGGCGGGUCCGGUUCGUUCCGGUGCCUGUUCGAUCGGCCAUCUUUGGGAAGAUCCCGUUGAGCAUUAGUUUGUUUGGCGGGGGAGGCCCAUCGUUUACUGUGAAAAAAUUAGAGUGUUCAAAGCAGGCUUACGCCGUUGAAUAUAUUAGCAUGGAAUAAUGAGAUAGGACUUUGGUACUAUUUUGUUGGUUUGCGCACCGAAGUAAUGAUUAAUAGGGACAGUUGGGGGUAUUCGUAUUCCAUUGUCAGAGGUGAAAUUCUUGGAUUUUUGGAAGACGAACUACUGCGAAAGCAUUUACCAAGGAUGUUUUCAUUAAUCAAGAACGAAAGUUAGGGGAUCGAAGAUGAUUAGAUACCAUCGUAGUCA